UUAACCUAGGAACUUUCAGUACGUAGGAUCUAAAAUGAUCAUAUAAGAAAGCAUGGAUAAGCAUGAUAGGUCAUAAUUUAUAACUAAUGUGGAAAUUGAGAUACAUGAUUACUUGACAAGAAAUAGAUUCCAACUGGAAAAUACAUACAGGAGUAGACUCUAGACUUCACUAAAAUGACAAACUCGAAUUCAUAUCACUUUAGUUAUGUGAAUGAAUACGAUAGACUACAAUGGAACCCCUAAAGACUCAAUGCAGAUAAUUGAUUCCCUUUAUUCUUAGAUUUAUUGAAAGUUUCAUAGCCAAGCAUGUUCAAGGACGUGGGUUUGUUCCUGCAAUGCCAGCACCACGACCUGCUGGAAUUGGCACCUCAAAACCAGGGUUUGGAACGAAUGUGUCAUCACUACCUGGAAGCUGGCGAUUUCCACCAAUUGUGCUGCCAACAUGGCGGCCACUGCUGCCGGUGUGGGUGCCAGUGCCGAUGGUGUGUGGAUUGUGAUGUUUGAAAAUUGGUGGCAGCAACACUCGUCCAAGGCCUGGAAUGAGCACACUACGGUCAUGUUUUAGAAAUUCAGGUUGUUUCAUUUGAUCAUCAUUCUUCGAGAUGUCACGUGCUGCAAUGGCUUGCCCAGCAAUAACAAACAGAAUGCUGAGCAUGAAAACGUGAGUAAGCAAGGAACUAAUUUUGCAAUCCAUUAUCAGAGUAAGUAAGAGUGAGAGCUAGGAUUGGUUCUGAUAUGAUGGGGAGAAGGGAUUAAAUAAUGCUUCUUAUAGAGAAGGUCUAAGUGAGUUGGUUGAUCAAUUGGCGGUGAGUUAGAAAGAGCAUUCCAUUUUAAAAGCACCAUUGAAGGAGACGUCCCAUAAAAACAGAAGCAAAGCAUGCAAUAAUUAGCAUGAAUUGCAUGGGUAGGUUAGGUGGCUUAGGGUUUGCCAUGUUGGGUGAGGUUUUUGGGUAAGUUAUGAGAUUUUUCUCUUCAAAGGCUAUGUGUAUCUAUACUAAAAACGCUUAAAUUAUAUUUACAUUAUGUUUUUAUACUAUAUUUUGACUAAUUCAUUCUUUCACCACAACUCUAUUGGAAACUCAGAUGAAUAUGUAUCUGUCAUGGAAGAUCCACAACUUGUAAUUAUCUUUUCUUUUGUCGGUUUAAUUCAACUUAAUAUUAAUUGAAAACAUGUAAACAAAAAAAUCAUACAAAAAUAUAUAUUUGACAUUGGAGUGAUAACAAAAGCUUUGUUAUGUUGUAAAUUCAAUGAAUAAUAGGCAUGUAUAGCAUACAAUGAAAAAAAUGUACAUAAACAUUUUAGUAAAAAAAAAAACACUUUGAUACCAUAUUAAAAUAGAUAUAAAAUUAUUUAAAACAAAAAAAGUUAAAUUGACUAGAAAAAACCUAAUUUAUUAUUGGUGAGAAUAUGGUCUAAGCACUUAUACUUUUUACACUAGUUCCUCUACUUAUAUUUCUACUAAUUUAUUACACGUAUUUUUUGAAUUUAAAAAUUUAAGUUCAAGUAUUAACCCUGUUAAAAUUAUUUAAUUAAAUUCAUUAAUAAAAUAUUUUAAAAUAAAAAAACUCACUUGAUAGUUAUGUAACAAAAACAAAUGAUAUUAUAAUAGGAUUAAAUUUAACAAAAAAUUAACAAUUAAACUUGUAUUUUUAAAUUCAAAAAAUAAAGAUACUAAAUUUUUUAAAAAAUAAAUUGAAAGAUUAAAUUAUAUGAAAAAAUAUAUAUAUAUAACACAUAUUUAAAUUUAAAUUUGAAUAUGAUGACCCACAAAUAGUGACUUGCAAAAUGUUGACUGCUACCAAAUAAAACGGAGCAAUAAAGGAUUUGAUGCAUAAAGCCUAGAGGUGUAAACCAUUUUGCUCACAUGGAUAUAUUCAAUGUGUGUAUAAAUAUGGGUGAAAUGAGAAUUGUCUAUUUAUAUUAAAGCAAUGCUUAUUUAGCUUGCAUUUUUACAUUUAAAAAAACUAAGGCUCCUUUUUAUUUUAAAACUGGUAUUUUUUAUUUUUAAAAUUAAAAAACAUCUUCGGUAAAAAGAAAAAUUUUCAGUAAUAUAAAAAUACGAUUCAUAUUUAUUUCCUAUAAUAGAAACAUGAGAAAAAAAAUAAUUUUUUUUAAAAAAAUACUAAAAAUCAUAGAAAAGUGUAAAACUUUUUAAAACAUUACAAAUUUUGCAGUGUGCAGUGUGUUUGCUUAAUCUGUUGGGUAGUAGAUAUUUGGUAGUAUUUAACAGUUUGAAGUUGCAAAAUAAAGAAAUGUCAAAUCAUGGAUUUUUUAUCAUUCAAGAUACAAAAUUUCAAAAAGGCUAAUAAAAAAUAUUAUGCUUUUCGACAAAAAAGAAGAAGCUUGUACUUGUUUUGGAGAAAUAAGAAAAUCUUAUAUGAGUAGUUCUGCUAAAAAUGUAUUUAUUAAGACAUUUUAUUAGUCAGCAAGGCCAUUAAGUUGAGGUUUUAAAAGGGUUAAUAUCACAAAUUGCCAAACAUAGGACAUGGAACAUUUGUUUCUUUGGUGCCAAUUUGCUCGAGCAAUAUGAAGUUAUUUGGGGUUCAAGUCAUGCAGGGUUUGGUCCAAUAUUUUAUCAUCACGAGUCGAAAAUCCUUCAAUGCAAUUAAAAUCCAAGUCCAACCAGCACAAAACCGAGGCGAAGGGGGACAGAUACAUGGUUAACAAAGCUUAAUCAUACGAUAGGACCAAAUUGGGAGUGAGAAGGAAAUGGGGACAGGAGGAAGAUUGGUCAGAGAAUGUGGAAAAGGAGAACAGAUUAGUAGCUAAAACCGACUCCAAGAAGCUGGGAAGGGGUUUCCAUCAUGAAAUGGUAGCUAAAAGUGAAGAAACUCGGGGAGGUUCUACAGUUUCACGGGUAGACAGAACAAAUAGAACUAGUAAAAGGAGCCAAUUAUGUUAAUAUGGUAUUUUCCUUAAUCAUAUAUUAGCUUUUUGAUAAAAAUAAAUGGCCUCAAAUGGGUCUUAGCCAAUCUGCAUUCUCUUCAGCUGUCACCUUUGGCAUGACUUUGUUGUAUUUUCCCUCAUUACUGGAAUUGGGUCCCCUCAUCUUAAAUGUGAAAGCAUUCCAGCAUUUUAAUAAUUGACAUAGAAAAGAAUGUUUUAAGGCUGUGAUUUUUAUUAAAACCACCAUUUUGCCAUGUCAUUGUAGUUAAUGAACAGAGUAGCAUACUUUUUUUUGGACAAUGUGCAAGUUCUCUUUUUCAAAUUCAUAGACACGUACAGUGACGCUCCUCUAGGGUAUUGCUAAGUGCCCAUUUUAUAUAGUCUAAUGUUCCCUAAUAUUAGUUUCAAAUUACCAAAUCUGUUUAAGGCAGGAACUUUUAGUAGGAUCUAAAAUGAUCAUAUAGGAAAUCAUUAAUAAGUAUAAUAGACCACAAUUGAUAACUAAUUUGGAAAUUCAGAUGCAUGAUGACUUGGCAAGAAAUAGUUUCCGACUAGAAAAUGCAUACAGGACUAGGAGUAGGCUCUAGACUUUAAAAUGACAAACUCGAAUUCAUAUAAUUUUAAUUAUGUGAAUGACUACGAUAUAUUACAAUGGGACCCCGAAAGACUCAAUGUAGAUAAGUGAUUCCCUUUAUUCUUUAAUUGAUUGAAAGUUUCAUAGCCAAGCAUGUUCAAGGACGUGGGUUUGUUCUUGCAAUGCCAGCACCACCACCUGUUGGAAUUGGCACCUCAAAACCAGGGUUUGGAACGAAUGUAUCAUCACCACCUCGAAUCUGGCGAUUUCCACCAAUUGUGCUGCCAAAGUGGCCUCCACUGCUGCCGGUGUGGGUGCCAGUUCCGAUAGUGUGUGAAUUGUGAUGUUUGAAAACUGGUGGCAACAACACUCGUCCAAGGCCUGGAAUGAGCACGCUACGGUCAUGUUUUAGAUAUUCAGGUUGUUUCAUUUUAUAAUCAUUCUUCGAGAUGUCACGUGCUGCAAUGGCUUGCCCGGCAAUAGCAAACAGAAUGCUGAGGAUGAAAACAUGAGCAAGAAGCAAGGAACUAAUUUUGCAAGCCAUUAUCAGAGUAAGUAAGAGUGAGAGCUAGGAUUGGUUCUGGUAUGAUGGAGAGAAGGGAUUAAAACGAUUCUUAUAGAGAAGGUCCAAGUGAGUUGAUUAAUCCAUUGGCGAUGAGUUAAAAAGAGCAUUCCAUUUUGAAAGCACCAUUGAAGGAGACGUCCCAUAAAAACAGAAGCAAAGCAUGCAAUAAUGUAGCAUGAAUUGCAUGGGUAGGUUAGGUGGCUUAGGGUUUGCCAUUGUAGGUGAGGGUUUUCGGUGAGUUAUGAGAUUUUUCUCUUAAAAGGCUAUAUGUAUGUGUGCUAUAAAUGUUCAAUUUAAAUUUAAAUUUACAUUUUGUUUAAUGCUAUAUUUUGACUAAUUCUAUUUUUUCUAUCAUGCCCCAAAAACUAGGUUAGAAGAAUUGGUUUUGUGAAAACCGAGAGUGGAUACGCCUUGAUUUAUAAGGUUAUCUUUGUGCAUUUAUAAAUCGAGGGUUUGAAAUGGGGACCAAAAUUAGGGUUAUAAUAAUUAAUUAAAGUAUUAAAAUAAUAUAAUAAGGUUUUAUUAUAUUAAUUAAUCUAAAACGAAACUUGAUGACGAGGUUUAAUUUGAAAAUAGUGUGUUUUAAUUGAGUUAGGAUCUAAUUGGAAAAUGGGUAAAACAAGGAGUGACCAAAAAGGGCAAAUUGCUCAAUUUUUGGGAAAUUAGUCUUCCACUAGAAAUUUCCGUCUUUUUCCCUCUCCUAACCUAAACCCCAUCCUAUGUUCCUACAGUAAGUACAUCAAGAAUUUUUACCUUGUUUAAUUCCAAAUUAGUUAUAAAUUAUGAAAAUGAAAUAGUUUAAUUACUAAUCUGUUAAUGUUAUAUGUAGAAAUUAUUAGUGAAUACUAAUGAGUAUGAUUCAAAUUUUAUUUUAUGUUAUGAAAUUUAAGUAAUUUACAAUAAUAGUGUGAAAUUGACUAAAUCAUAAAGUUAAUAAAGUAUGUCAUGACAUUGUAUAAAGUAGAAAGAGGUUUUAAAUGAAGAAGUGUUAAAGUUAUGGUGUUAUAUGUGAUAAAUGUGUAAGCUAAUAAAUAAUAUGUAAGUUGAGUCCCUUCCUCCCAUUUUAUUAUUUUAGACAAACUAGGAAAAAGUCACACCUUGAAAUAAAUAUAUAUAUAGUUAAGAAAUGAGAUUAAACAAGAAAUAGGCUUUAGCUUUAAUGGUUAAGAGUUAGCUUCCCUCUCUUGUGAUUUCAGGUUUGAACCCCUUCUUCCCCUUCUAUUUUAGGAAUUCGGCCAAUCUCCAAAAAUAAAGCAAUACUUACAAUUAAGUGUCUAAAUUAAGUAAGAAAUAGGUUUGAGGCUUAAUGGUUAAAUAGUUGGUUUCCCCCUUGAUAACCCAAGUUUGAGCCUCCUCCUCCUCCCCUUUCAGUUUAAUUUCAAAUUUCAGAAAAAUAUUAGGAAAAUUGCAAGUGCAACCCCUAGGGUUCACAAACCCUAGGAGUUUAACCAAUUCUUUCCUAAUUAGAAUCCAUAUCUUGCUCUUCCUCAAAAUUCUAAUAGAAUUAGAAUUCCACCAUCUUUUUCUUCUUUUCAUAGUUAGAUUUUCAUAUUGCCCCUUUUCAAAUCCUAAUAGAAUUUUCUCUCCAUCUUUCUAUUUAUGCUCUUUUUAUUUUAUUUUCCUUUUCUAUACAUCAUAUUUUUAUCCUAAUUGUUGAUAAUUAUUUUUCUUUCCCGAAUCAAAUAAUCUUCCAUUCAGUCGUUCUUUCUAUCGAUUUUGUAAUUUUCGUCAAUAGCAUCCCUACCAAGAAUCGGUAAGUACAUCUCAUUUUCGAUGUUUAGAUCUUGAAUUUUCGUAGUAUUUGUAUCCAACUCUAAUCUUACAUUUGAUUAAACAAUCUUUUUUUGGUUCUUGUCAAACCUUUCGAUAAUCUUGUCGAAUCUUGAAAUCAAUCAUUAAUUCAUGUGCAAAUGUCAUUUGAAGGAUCGUGUUCUGGUGAAUCAGAUCAGGAUCAGGCAUGAGGAACAUCGAUCAGACUCCCGGUGAAAGGUGUGUGUGCUUUUACAAGCGAAUUGGGUCAAACCGUGCUUAACGUUAGGGUCACAUGAGCGUGUGAACCACACGGCCCCUCACACUGCCAUAUGCCUCUGAAGCUCUAGGAUAGUUCAAAUCUCACACAGCCAAGAACCCUCCGCACGUCCAUGUCUACCCUAUAGGUAAAUUUUUGCAAAUGUCAUGGUGACAAUUUGUUACACGGCUUGGCCACAUGGUUGUGUAACCCUUCCACACGACCUAUAUCACCUCACAUGGCCUGACCACAUGGCCGUGUGUCCUCUAUUUAUAGUUUUGCCCAAAAAUUUAUGUUAUAUGCAAUUUAGUCCUUGAAUACUCCCGAAACUAUUUUUAGUGUCUUAUUUUAUUCAAUUGAUCCCCUAAAAAUAUAAAUAAUGUUAGAAUCCAUUAUUUGAUUGACUGAAUUAUUAUAUUUAUGCAUGAUAUGUGAAUAAUAUAUAUGUAUGUUGCAUCUAUAUUUCUGAUUGUACGUUCAACAUGCCUCAUGAUACAGUUAAAUCAAAUCCAUGAAAAGUAAAUUCUUUGCUACUGUACUGAUUAGUUAAAAGCAUAUCUAUUGCUGCCAUAUUGAUAUGUUAUAAGCAUAUUACUCGUUGUCGUUUUUAUUUGUUAUAAGCAUGUCAUAUUACAUAUCAUAGGGCAAGACGCUUUGAAAAGAGGAAGUUCUGGCAGAUUAAUUAUCUGCAACUCUAGUGAUUCAUCCACAACUUAUCUAGAAACUUUAAUCUGCAAAUAUGUUGUGCAUUCACAACCAUCUGACAACGUAUUAACUUGCAACACUGGUGGUUCAUCCACCCAUAUUCUGGCAACUUUCAUAUGCAAAUAUGUUGUGUAUUUAGAGCCAUUUGACAGUGUAUUAACCUGCAACACUGGUGGUUCAUCCACCCACAUUCUGGAAACUCUUAUAUGCAAAUAUGUUGUGCAUUCACAACCAUCUGGUAGCAUAUUAACCUACAACUUUUGUGGUUUAUCCACAACCCAGUGUGUAGGGGUGGAUGAGUUCUGGGGAACUUUACUAUGGUGUGUAGCGGUGGGGUAGAAUCUUUUUUGUUAAACCAAAUCUGUAUUGUAUUCAUAAAGCAUGUGCAUACAAUUUUGAUAUUUCUGAGAUGAUAUAUGUAUAUGUAUAUACAUUGUUGCGUUGAUAUGAUAUAUCGAUAUUCUUAAAAUACUACUAUGAAUUAUACUAUGUAAUGUGAUUUUGUAUGUUAAUCGGUUGCACUGGUUUUCUUGUAAUGGAACUCACACUAGGCUUCAUUGCUCACUGCCAUUUUAUUUCCAUUUUCUACAGAUAACCCACCAGGUUAAGACGCAAACACAACAUUCGGAGGGUCUCGACUCAAUUUUGUUAAAAUAUUUUAGAUUUAUUAUUUGAUAUUUUUGUUAUUCAGAGACUGUAUUGUUUUAUUCUUGAUUUGUGGCAUGAGACUCAGGUUUUGGGUUUUUAAAUAGCUUGCAUGACAUUUAAUUUGAGUUUAGAUUGUUGAAAUAUGAUUUUUAAUUAUUUAUGCAUAAGAUCUGAAUUUUUAGUAAAGAAAAACUAAGUUAAAUAUCACUUUUCCGCUGUUUGAUUGUAAUUAAAAUUGUGGUAAUAGAUUAUUGGAAAACUAACUAAAUUUUCUUAAAAUUAGUCAUUGACACAUAGGAAAGUUAAUCUAAAUCAGUUUUUCAUAACUCGUGAACUUUUCUGAAAAUAGAUUAAGUUUUUACUAAAAUAAACGACUUUUUUUAAUAAUGGUUGUUUUAUAAUCUCUGAUACCUCUGCUAGGCUAUUUUGGUGGCUAAUGUAAUCUUCUGAAUUCGGGCAUAACGUCUAGACCAAGUUGGAGAGAUUACACUUUCACUAUAACUCUACCAGCAAUUUAGAUGAAUAUGUCACUGCCAUGUAAGAUUUACCUUUCCUUUUCUCCAUCAUCAUACUCCACAACUUGCAUUGUCUUUUUUGUUGCUCUAGAAAUUAAGCAAUUCAACUUAAUAUUAAUUGAAAGGUUAAAAUGUGUAAUCGUAUAAAAUUUAAGAUUUAAUUUUUUGUAGUUUAAAAGUUAAAUCUUCAAGACUUUUACUUUGUUCAAUUCUAUAAAAAUUCUAGAUCAAUCAUUAUUGUUGUUGGUAGUUUUUUGUCAACAUCUGUCAAUUUAACAUGUUUAUUUUUUGUCAAUUAUAUUCUACAUCAUACGAGGAAAGUUUAAUCAAGAUUUCAAAUUGAAAAAUUUUGAUAGAAAAUACUCACAAAUUCAAAGACUAGACUGAAAUUUUUAAAUAAAAAAGCAGAACUUAUAUUUUAACUUUUUAAAUACUGAGAUUAAAUAUUAAAUUUUAUCAAAAUUUAAGCUAAUUGAAAACAUGUAAUAAAAAAAUCAUGCAAAAAUAUUUUACAUAGAAGCUUUAUUAUGUGAUAACCAAUAAUAGGCAUACAUAACACAGAAGAAAAUAAAGACUGAAGUUUGAUACCAUAUUAAAUUACAAUCAAAUUAUUUUUAAAAAUUAAAUUCAUUAGAAAAAAAACUUAAUUUAUUAUAGGUUAAAAUAUGCUCUAAAUAUUUAUAUUUUUGUAAAUUUAAAAUUUGGUUCCUUUAUUUAUAUUUUUAGGAAUUUAAUUUAUAUACUUUUUCAAAUUAAAGAAAAAACUUAUGUUCAUUUGCUAACAUGGUUAAGAUUUCACAUUAAAUUCGUUGUUAAAAUAUUUUGAAAUAAAAAAAAUACUUAUUUAAUAGUCAUGUAAAAAAAAACAAAUGAUAUUAUAAUGGACUUAAAUUAAAUAAAAAAAUUUAACGGUAUUAAUAAUUUUACUUGUAUUUUUAAAUAUAAAAGGUAAUGAAAUUAAAAUUUAAAAAAUAAAAAUAAAUAUAAAUAUAAAGAAUUGUAGCACAUUUUAACUUUUAUUAUAUUUAAAUUUGAACAUGGUGUCCCACAAAAUGUUAAAUGCUACCAAAUAAAACGGAGCAAUAAGGGAUUUGUAUUAAAGGAAUAAUAAUUUUUUUGGCACUUAUAAAAAAGAAGUUAUUUUAGUUUUUUAAUUUUUAGUCUUUAAAUUGUUUUUGUCAAAUCACCUUAAAAUAGAUGAAAAAGUUAACAUCCUUUAAUUUCACUGAUGUGAUAUACACUUAAAUGACACAUUAACAUUUAAUUAAAAUUUUAAAUUUUUAAAAUUUCAAAAAAAUUAUAAAAAAUAUUUUUAAAAUUUUUAAAAAAUUAAUUCAAUAUUGACAUGUAGUCCACAUGGCAAUCCACAUGUAUAUCAAGGGAAAUUUUGACAAAAAAUAUAAAUUUUAGAGCUAAAAAGAGGCCAAAAAUUAAUAGAAAAUUAAAAUGGCUUUCUAUUUAUAAAGUUGGGAGAACCAAAAAAAUCAUUAUAUCUAUAUUGAAUGCCUGCGUAAAUAUUUAGUGAAAUGAAAAUUGUCUAUUGAUAAUUUUAUACAUGCAUGUGGUUGAACUUGCAUUUUGUUUUUUAGAAAGAUAAAUAUAUUUUUAUUUUUUAGAGAUAAAUUUCAUUUUUUAAAAAUUAAAAAACAUAAAAUUGUUUUCAAUAAUACGAAAAACAAAGAACUAGGCAGUGGCUUUGGCCCUCCAAAAAUGGUAGAUUUAUUAUUUAUCUCUUUAAAAUUUUAUGAAAUUAUAUGUUAGUAUAAUGGUAAAAUUACUGGCCUCCAAUAAUUUAUUAUUCAUCUUUGGUCCUUUAAAGCAAUUUUUUGGCUUCACCCUUAUGUCACGAGGCUAGAAAUUUAGUUUGGCAAACUGCGCCGUCUUAGGUGAUUUCUUUGUUUCAAAUUUGUAUAAGUCAGUCUGACUCUUAGGAGGUGAGAAUUCUCAAAUAUACCAAAAUAAAGCGAAAGCAAACUCUCAAAAGCGAAAAAGCCAUAAGAAAGUUAAGCACGUCAAUUAUUUGAGUAAAUGCUCUUAAAAGUGUUAUAUUACUUUGAAGAAAUACAAUUGAAUGAUUACAAAUGAAGGGAAAUGUUUACAUUUAUAAUUGAGCUCUCUCAAAUCCGACGGUACAAUCUAAACUACAUUGACAGUCAAGAUUAAAGCUUAUUUACAAGAUGGGAGUCCUAAAGGAUUUAAACACUAUAUAAUCUUAUCCUUUAGAAUUUACAAUAUUCACCAUGAUAACUCUAGUUUUACUGAACUGUUUCACUGGGCCACCAAUGUUUCAAGUAAAUGGACUUCUCUAUGUGUUCCACAAAUCGGACUAGUCCAUGUGAGUUAAAUGAGCUUCAUUUAAUUAAUUGACUUCCAUGUAAUGGUUUGUAUGCAUUCGUCUUGAGCUUUGAUUCGUGACCUGUGACACUUACAUUUAUCCUACCAUAAAACUAAAGUUGUUUUACACAUUUUCCUAUAAUUUUGUAUGAUUAAUAUUUUAAUAAUCUAACUGUCAAAUUUUAUAUUCUAUUCAUAUAGAUUAUACAUGUCAAAUUUGACAUAUAUUAAAAAUUUUCUAACUAUUUUUUAUAUAAAACUUUUAAUCGAUAAAUAAAUGUUGGAAACUUAUUUGUGGCUUGGAAACCAGACUUUGAUAAUGGAAAAUGGGAAACUUCAAAGUUCAGAAAGCUAGUCUCAAGGAAUUAUUGCCGGUUUUAAAAUCAUGGAAAAGGGCCAUGGCCCAUGGGUAAUUCUGUACCACUGCCAAUUCUAACAGUUCAUCAUCGUCUUAAGUUAUAACAAUGAUAAAUGAUUUUAGAGAAUAAAAUUAGGUUUCCAAACCAUGUAGAAAAAUGCUCCAUAUAAUUUUUUAAUAGUUGGUUAAUAUUUGAACCAAAUUAUUAUUAAUUGAAUUAACUAAAAUUAUAAAAUUAUUAACUGUUAAUUUAGCUAAAAUAUUUCAAAAUUUUUUAAUCGGCCGAAAUAAUUUCGGUUUAUUCAAGCGGUUAAUCAAAUUAACUGAAAUUUUUGUUCAAAUAAAUUUGAAGCAUGAAAAAAAUACCGUUGCAAUGUUAUUUUUCUUUGCUGUUAAUUCAAAAAAGAAAACAAAAACAAUACUAAUUUAAAAUCAUCAUAACAAACAUUGUAUUGAAAACAAGAAAAUUUGAAACUUGAGCGAUGAAAUGAAACAAAAAAAUGGAAGAAUAGAAGAUGGUUUAGUGUUAAGCGGUGCCCACCCGAACUUUGUUUUGAGUUUGACAAUGGGAGGACAAAAUAUUAGGGCUACUUUCUUUACUUUUUUAAUUUAAAAAUAUGAUUUUAUGCCCAAUAUAAUAAUUUGUAUGAAUCCAAUUAGUUUAAAGCUUAUUCUUUAAUUUUUAUAUUUUGGGCUUACAUAAAAUAUUGGAUUUAUCUAAUAUAUUGGGCCUAAAAUAUUUUAUUUUUAAUAAUUUUGGUUGAUCGGUUAAUUAUCCGGUUUUAAAUCGAAUUAACCAUUAAUUAAAAUUUUAAAAAAUCCUUAACCGAUAUCCGAUUGAGUUAGAUUCGUUGGUUGAUUAAUUGAAAUAAUUUAGUUCGAUCAAUUAAUUUGGUUAAAACCCAAUUAUGAACACCUAUAUCAUUUGGGUUAUAAACAAGGUUGGGUAUUUCGUUCUGAUAAUAAACUAGAAUAAUAAAAUUUAGGUUUUAUUUAGGUGUAAGUAAAUUUCAUUUUGUAAUUUUGCUCCUACUGACCAUUACAAAAUUUUAUUUAUUUUUGAGUAGUUGGAUGCUGGAUUAUUAUAUACUUAGGGUUGGUUUAGUAUUGUUAAACACUUUUGAGAGAAAAAAAUACUUUUGAAAUAAAAACAUCGCUGAAUAAGAUGUUUUCAAGUUUUUCAAAAAUAUUUUUUGGGACCAUAAAAAAGAAGGAAAAAAAAUUUAACUGCUGUUCAAAAGUACUUUUUGAUCUAAAAACACUUUUAAAAAGUAAUGCUAAACUAAACCUUAAUUGAAAAUGAGAGCAUUGUUUAAUGUAUGAAAUAUUUUACUUGUUUAUUUUGAAUUUGUUUAAAAAUAAGUUAUAUCUAUGAAACUCAUUAAAAAUAUAUUUUAUGUAAUAAAUUUGAAAGAUAUUGAUAUUAAUAUAUAGCAGCACUCUGUGUACAUCGAUAUUGACUAUGUUGAAUAUAAAUCAAGUCUAAGACUUGGGCACAUUGAUGGAAUUAAGCCUCAAAUGUAUUGCCACUUGGAGGUUCUUAGAAAUAUAUCUAAGAUAUCAUUGGGUCCAUUCUCAUCCAAAAUUGGAUAAGGUGAUAAGCCCCCACGUAGCACAAACCCAAAGCUCUCCUCUUUUCAUUUCUCAAGCUACCAACACAAGUUCACUAGCCAACCAAAAACCAUGGCCUCCCCAACACUUAUAGCCCCAACUUCCAUGCUCAAACCCCUUCUUCCCAUCAAAGCCAGAGCCACGCAAACACCGCCAUCACCGCCACCGCACCAGCAACCCUUACGGCGUCAAUUCUUGUGUCUUGCUGCUGCUGCUGCCGCCACCACCACAGCAAGUCUUGCUCUUGGAGGGGUUCAGUCAGCAUUUGCUGCCUCGGAUGAGGAGUACGUGAAGGAGACUGCAGAAGUAAUCAACAAAGUGAGAAGCACCAUCAAUAUGGACAAGAAUGAUCCCAACAUUGCUUCUGCUGUAGCUGAGCUUAGAGAGGCAUCCAAUUCUUGGGUGGCUAAGUACAGAAGAGAGAAAGCUUUGCUGGGUAGAGCUUCUUUCCGUGAUAUGUACUCCGCAUUGAAUGCUAUUUCUGGCCAUUAUAUUAGCUUUGGACCAACUGCUCCAAUCCCUGCAAAGCGAAAGGCUAGGAUUCUUGAAGAAAUGGACACUGCCGAGAAAGCUUUAUCGCGAGGAAGAUAGAAUCACUAUUACUCUCACCAAAUGAAGCCGGAUGGAGUUCGAGAUUGUAAAUUGAGUUUCAGUUUGUGAAUUAGGACAAGGUAUCUUUUUUCCAUAUCAUGGUUACAAAUUACGUACAAUAUAUAUUUAUAUAUGUUGCUAGGAAUUGUAUAUCGACAGUCUUCCAUAUUGUCAGUUUAUGGAUAUCCAUCAGUUUUAACAUUUGAAGAAUUGUAUCUGACAUGUAUAUUCCAGGUAAUUAGGGCAAAUUUCCUCUGCCGUCAACAUGUAACAAUAGAGAUACGAAAACAAAUUAAAAAUUUCUGGCAAACCUGAAUUUAAAGGCAUUGCUAUAAUCAUAUUUUUAGAAAACAAUAAAACAUUAAACAGGUUUCAACCCCAAAAAAACAUUAAACAGGCAGGGCAGAAGAGCAUAAGCUUGUAGGGAUUUAAGAUGUGGUUUUAUAGGUCCCCAAUGAUCCUUCCUCAAUCAAUAAAGCAUAAUCCAGAAUCCAAAAUCUCAUUUUUGUGUUCAUCCAUAAGAAUGGUUCCUAGCAUGCACAAGCAAUUAGGCCCAUUUCAGGGCUUAGGCUGGUUUGUCAACCAUUUCCUGGGCUGAAUUCUAGUGUCACGGGCCCCGGAUCAUAGCCUAUAACGAUUGUGCAAAGAGCAUCCCAUGAAGGUCAAUCGAUUAAAUGGGGUUUAUUCGACUCAUUUGAACUAGCCUAAUUUGAGGAACAUGUAGAGAAACCCGUCUACUUGAAACCUUAGUGACCCAGUGAAACACUUAUGGAAAAUUAGGGCUACCUUGGUAAAUAUAGAAACUAAUUUUAGAAGAUCUGUAAUCUGAUAAGAUUCGAUUUUGUAAUCUUAAAGGAUUGAGUCAAUCUUUUAAGACUCUCAAUUGUAGAUAAUAGGCUUUAAUCUCAACCGUUGAUGUAACUCAAUUUGUACCGUCAGCUUUAGGGGAGCUCAACUGUAAAUAGAGGUCUUCCCCCUCAUUUGUAAUCAUCCAUUGUAUCCAAUUCUUUGUAUUUUUUGAGUAAUAAGAAUACUUUUAGAGCAUUUACUCAAACACUUGGCGUGCUUUUGCUUUCUUGUGGCAUUUUAUGUUCUUUCGUUGAUCUUUCAUUUUGAGUUGCUUCCACUUUAAUUUUCAGUGUCUUGGAGAAUUUUUGUGAGAAUUCUCACUUUACGAGAGUUAGGCUGACUUAGGCGAAUUUGAAACUAAGAAAUCGCCUAAGCUCGCAUGGACUGUAAAACUAAAAUUCUAACUCUGUGACAAUUGGUAUCUGAGCUAAGGUUUCAAAGGCACCAAUUGAGAUGACGAAAGGAGUAAACGAUCAGAUUAAGCCAAUGGAGACCCGUGGGAGGUCUAGGAAAGAUAGUUGAUUGAUGGACAUGUUGUUGGCUUUGGAAGGGCGAGUGAUCAAUCUUGACGAAUCCAUGGGGGAUAUGAGUGAGACACUUGAGGUAGUCGAGGGAUGCAUUGCAGAGUUGGACACGAUAGAAGAGAAAAUCAAGGAAGUCGUGUUGGAGUCUCUCGGUUCCAAUGUGGAAGAGAUGCUAGGGGUGCUCAAUUCUACUACAGAUAAGCCGACAAUGGGAGAUAAUGCUCUUGAGGUCAUGGUGAUAGCUUUGAAGGAGGAAAAAAUGGCUAAGACGAGGGGUUUGAGCACAAGAAUUGAAGAGCUCUAGGGAGAGCUUGUUGUGUGUCGAGUCGUCGUGGGUAAAUGAGUGUUGGGUGCAACACUAAACUGCGAGAUAGAUAUCUCCAAAUCGAAGAUGUUCAAGAGAGUAAGGUUUGUAAGGGAAGUGAACAACUUUUUGUCGAAGAUGGAGCAAUACUUUCGUGUCGAGGACAUUAAGGAUGAUAAUGCUAAGGUAAAUACUAUUGCUAGAUAUUUUAUUAAUUUUGCUCUUCUUUGGUGGAAGCGUAGGUCCACAAAUGAAAAACGUGGUCAAGCUGUGAUUGGGACUUGGGAGGAGUUCCAAAAUGAGUUCAAUGAGCAGUUUUACCCCUAAUAUGUUGAGAAACAGGCUCGAUCUAAGUUGCGUCGGUUCUCGCAACAAGGCUUGUUGAGAGUAUGUGAAGGAGUUCAAUGAACUGAUGCUCCAAAUCAUGGAUUUAAAUGAGACGGAGGCAUUCUUCCAUUUCAUGGAUGAGUUGAAGCCAUAGGUCAAACAAGAAUUAGAAUGUCGAGUGGUCCAAAAACUUUUAAAAGCUAUGAUCAUGAUAGAGUCCUUGGUCGAACUUGUUUCGAGGAAAAACAAGUUAGAGUUUUCUUAACCCAAGGAUAAGGGCAAUAAUGGGGAAGAUAAAGAAGGACAAGUUGAGUACAACAAUAAUUGUGGCAAUGAGAAACCAUGAAAUGGGAGGGGAAAACCCAACAACUUGAAGGAAAAGAAGAG
rnacentral:lncRNA from 1 species